rnacentral:rRNA from 1 species
AGUGAACGCUGGCGGUAGGCCUAACACAUGCAAGUCGAACGGCAGCACAGGAAAGCUUGCUCUCUGGGUGGCGAGUGGCGGACGGGUGAGGAAUACAUCGGAAUCUACUCUGUCGUGGGGGAUAACGUAGGGAAACUUACGCUAAUACCGCAUACGACCUACGGGUGAAAGCAGGGGACCUUCGGGCCUUGCGCGAUUGAAUGAGCCGAUGUCAGAUUAGCUAGUUGGGGGGGUAAAGGCCCACCAAGGCGACGAUCCGUAGCUGGUCUGAGAGGAUGAUCAGCCACACUGGAACUAAGACACGGUCCAGACUCCUACGGGAGGCAGCAGUGGGGAAUAUUGGACAAUGGGCGCAAGCCUGAUCCAGCCAUACCGCGUGGGUGAAGAAGGCCUUCGGGUUGUAAAGCCCUUUUGUUGGGAAAGAAAUCCAGCUGGCUAAUACCCGGUUGGGAUGACGGUACCCAAAGAAUAAGCACCGGCUAACUUCGUGCCAGCCGCCGCAGUAA